rnacentral:rRNA from 1 species
CAGUCGCCGCGGGAAUACGUAGGUGGCAAGCGUUGUCCGGAAUUAUUGGGCGUAAAGGGCUCGCAGGCGGUUUCUUAAGUCUGAUGUGAAAGCCCCCGGCUCAACCGGGGAGGGUCAUUGGAAACUGGGAAACUUGAGUGUAGAGGAGGAGAGUGGAAUUCCACAUGUAGCGGUGAAAUGCGUAGAGAUGUGGAGGAACACCAGUGGCGAAGGCGACUCUCUGGUCUGUAACUGACGCUGAGGAGCGAAAGCGUGGGGAGCGAACAGGAUUAGAUACCCCCGUAGUCCCUGUCUCUUAUAC